UGGGGAAUAUUGCACAAUGGGCGCAAGCCUGAUGCAGCGACGCCGCGUGAGGGAUGACGGCCUUCGGGUUGUAAACCUCUUUCACUAGGGACGAAGCGUAAGUGACGGUACCUAGAGGAGAAGCACCGGCCAACUACGUGCCAGCAGCCGCGGUAAUACGUAGGGUGCGAGCGUUGUCCGGAAUUACUGGGCGUAAAGAGCUCGUAGGUGGUUUGUCGCGUUGUCCGUGAAAACUCACAACUCAAAUUGUGGGCGUGCGGGCGAUACGGGCAGACUGGGGUACUGCAGGGGAGACUGGAAUUCCUGGUGUAGCGGUGGAAUGCGCAGAUAUCAGGAGGAACACCGGUGGCGAAGGCGGGUCUCUGGGCAGUAACUGACGCUGAGGAGCGAAAGCGUGGGGAGCGAACAGGAUUAGAUACCC
rnacentral:rRNA from 1 species